UUUUCUGGGCGAGGCGUACCAAAAAACGCAUUGAGGCGUACUGGCGGGGGCGUAAGUACCAUGAGGCGUGAGCCCCAACAUUCCGAGCGUUCGCCUAGGCGUAAGUCCCAAUGUUCUGAGCGUUCAUUUGGGGCGUAAUAGAUCUUUUUUUCUUAACUUAAAUAUCCAAAAGUUAACUCUAGUAAAUUUUCAAACUAAAAAUGUCAAAAAAGUUUUUUCUAAUUGUUUAUCCUAAUUUCAUAAUUUACUAGUACUAAGUAACAAAUACACUUAGGACAUUUUUUUGGCAAAAGUGCAAACUACAAAGAAAAGAGUUUUGUCCUCCAAUUCUUACUCUGCUUUUGCACUUGCAUUUUCCUUCUUUAUGCUUCAUUUUCUUCAAGUUUUUUUAUUCUUUUUUUAUUCUUUUCAAGUUAGUUUUUGAUUUCAAAAUUUCUUUUGGUAUCGCUCUACGUUAGAUAUUAUUUUGAUGAUUCUAUUUUGGCUAUUUGUAUUAUACAAUGAGUAUUUGUGAUUUAUUAUCUAGUUUUAGGUUUUUAAAUAAUAAAGGGCAGCCCAGUGCUUUAAGUUCCCGCUAUGCGCGGGGUCCGGAGAAGGGCCGAACCACAAGGGUCUAUUGUACACAACCUUACCCCGCAUUUUUGCAAGAGGCUGUUUCCACGGUUUGAACCCGUGACCUCCAGGUCACAUGGCAUCAACUUUACCAGUUACGACAAGGCUCCCCAAUAAUAGUAACUUUAUAUCAUUAUUAUUUUUAUUAUUUGAAAAAUUAGGAACUAGAAUAUCAUUUUACAACUCUAAGUAUAUUCUAUCAUGGUCAUUUUAUAGGUAUGAUGCAUCAUUACGUCUUUCACUUUUUUCUGAUUUUUUUUUUGGUAUGUUUCAUGCACAUGUUAGCAUGUUUAGAGAUAUAUCCUUUUUUCUAUUAAUUUUAUAAUCUUAUUGAUAUUUUUACAAUUUAAUAUAUUUUUUAUUUGUAUAAUUAUUUUAUUAAUUUAUAAAUAUUAAAAAUUAAAUACUCAUGGGGCUUACAUCCCGUGCCUCAGGGCUUUCGCCUCGCCCCGUGAUAGAUAAAACACCUCGCCUCUUGUCCACGCCUUUUAAAACACUGGACUCACAACAUGGUCACUACUAGUUUACGAUGCUUGUAUGUGCUACGGAAAAACUGUAAUUACAAUUUGCUAAAUUGAAGAUGACAUUUUGCUUUAGGGAUGUUGUUUAUGAUGGAAAUGCUACAUUGCCCAUUUUGGUCGUUUAAGCUUCUGAACUUUUACAGUUUAAGCAAGAGACUUUAUAACUUUAGGAAGGUAGAUAAAUUUUGAAACAGCUACAAGUAAGAUUUUGGUGAAAGUUAGUGAAAUUACUCUUUUUCUUAUUAAAAUUUAGAGAAAGUUAGUUUAUACAAAUUCUUCAAGGAUUUGUGAGAUGGCCAAUCUUUUUGCUAUUUCUAUUUUCUUGUCUUAGGUUUAUUAGCUCUAUUUAUGAGCAGGUCUAUGACAUAGGUCAUGGUUUUACUUCCACAAAAGUUUACUUAACAGGUAUUAUUUUCAUUUUUAGCAUGGGAUAGCUAAGACAUUCAUUUAAGAAAAAUGAAAGAUAUUGAUUGUGAUAUCUUUGGAUUCUGAAGUGAAAAAAUUCCUUGUUAGUUAUCAGUUAUCACCCGGACAAGUUAGAAAAAGUAUUGUUUUCUAGAAAUUUUGGUGGAAGUGGCUGAGGAAACGCUAAAAUAGAGCUGGAAAGUUAGUUCUGUAUAUUCACAUUAGGUAAAUUAGCAAAUUUUAGGUCUCACAGCAAGGCUUUCUUGCCUGAAGCUGUUGUCAUUGACCUUCAUGUAAUACUUAUUCAACUAGGCUUAAAGUUUAGUUCCGUUUAGAUCACGUUGCUUAAUACCACCUGUAGACAUGAAAAAUUUUAAUAGGAAAAAUGAUAUGCAGGUUGUCUAUUGCCACACAUUUUGUGAAGGGUUCAACUGAUUAAAAAAAUUCACAUUUCAUCACCGGAACUAAUCUUGCUAUCUUCAUAAAAGCAAUCCCUUUCUAAUCUUAGUCUUCAAUUUGCAGGUGCUAAAGAAAGGUAAGAUAACACAAGUUUGGAUGAUGGAAGAAAAUGAGUGCCUCAUCUCUUCUUGAAGCUGAGACAAGUGAAGGUACCUGGACCUUGGUAGAAAGCUCUUUGAGAUCGUGACAACAACUUAGAUUUAAAUGUUUUUCUCGUUCUUCUGCUGGAAAAUUUACUUCCUUGUUCAUGAUAACUAAAUUGCCUGUACUAUCGAGAUAGAAGUCUGUAUAAUGAUGUUCUUCAUUGAGAAGGAAGUAGUGAAAUUGUGCUGGAUAUCAGAUAUCAAUUGUUGACUACUGGUUUAUUUUUCCCACUCCAUGCAACUAUGGAAAAUUCUGCAUUAGCAGCUCUUUAUCUGGAAAGUUCCAU
rnacentral:lncRNA from 1 species